GCCCGCCCGCCCGCCUGCGACUCGGCGCGCCAUUCCUCCAACGCUGAGGGCGGGGGGUGACGGGUGGCUAGGUAGAGGGCGCCCGGUGAGGCGGGAAGAGAGGCUCGGCGCCCGAGACCAGAUCUAACUCUCUGGGCAUGGGAUAGAGGAGGCCUGGGCUAAGACUUCAAGUUCCAGAGGCUGCACCACAAUAAAUAAGGGUAUUCACUUGGGGAAGAGGAGGCAAAACCAGUAAAUCUAAAUGAUGGAGGCCUCAACCGAGGUGAGAGGGAAAGUGACAGAGCUUCAACUUGGGAGGCCCUUCUAGCCUCCUUCCCUGCAUGGCUAACUUCUAUUUCUCACAAGGUACAGCUCCUCUAGAAAGCCUUCCCCGAUCCCUGGAGGUCCUGCCGCUGCCGUGUUACUCCAUCAGGAUACUUCCUAUAUGGAGUUGUAAUGGCCUGUCUUACUUUCCCUGGGAAGGAAAAGAAAUGCCAAGACUCAACUCACACAGAGCCCCAGGAAUCUCCCUAUUCAGGAAGUUUUAAGGCAAGUGAAGAGCCAAGGGAUGACUGAACAUUGGAAGGAAAUGAUCUGGCUACCACCAUCUUCCCAACAUGCUACACAUAGUGACUCAGGACUUGAUGAAUUCUGUAUUAAGACAUGUAUGUAUUUUGCUAAGAAUUGAAAAAUAGCAUGUAUAAUGAACAGAGCAUGUUUUUAUAAUAUUGCAUAAAUAUUUUGAUCUUCAUAUAUAUUCUUCAACUAUGUCAUUCAAAUUAAAUGAUAUACAACAGAUUAUUGUUAAUAACUAUGAACAUUUAUUAAGCACCAAGAGUACACUGCAAUGGUUGCUAUAUAAAAACGUAAUUAUUGAUAUAGUUCCCUGCCAUUGAGCUUACAAUCUAAAAUGAAAUACAGAAUGCUUAUAAGCCUAUCUCAAAAUUUCCUUAUCUGAGAAAUGGUUAUUUUGGCAAAUGGAUGAGGCAAAAUGACCUAUUAUUUCAGGUACAAUGUUAAUAAGGCUUUGAACAUUAUCCAUAGAAUAUUUUACUCAUAUUACAUUAGGCUUGCUAAGAAAAAAGAGCACACUGAAACUUGGCAAGAGCAAUGAAUUAUUUCAGAUUGCCUUGUAGGACUUUGUUUUAAACAAAGAGCUGCUUAUUGGCCUGAGUUUUUCAGCAGCCAAGGAAAGUCCAAUGUAAAAUAUGAACUGGAUCAAGUUUAUCUUCUAUUUCACUUAAAACUUCAAUUUCUUCCUCCUUUCCCAUGCAUAAGGGCUCCAAUGAUACCCCUAUCAAGGAAGAAAACACUGUAUCUAGAUACUAUAAAGUACUAGAGGCCUAAUAAGUUGAACUUUGGGAAAUAUUGUUCAUUCAUAUUUUAAAGGAGGACUAAGCGAAGACAGCAGUGGGCCUCUGGCUAUCGGAGGCACCUGGCUAUGUAUGACUUGUAAACAAAGGCAAGAGAGUUCAGUCCACACAUCUUCAGAGUGAUCAAGAAUAUACAUAAAGGAGGGCUGGAAAUGGAAUUCAAUGUUACAGCACUUGACUAGCAUAUGCAAAGCACUGGAUUCAAUCCCUAGUACCAUAAACACACAUACAAAAGCUUGCUUUUCUGAUCCAUAUUUCUAAUGUAGGGGUAUAUACAAGACCCUAUAGUAUAAACUGUCCUAUUUUGCCUAUAUGCAUAGUAUAAUAUUUAAUAAAUACUUUCAAGGUUUUCAUUGCUGGUCAUUAUUAGCUGACAAAGGCACACCAAUGGGAUUUUGAUUCUAGUCAAAUGCAAAGAUUGUUUUAAACUACUGAGCACAUACAAUCUUACAAUGAUAUACUGAUUAUUUAUUUUUGAUCAUUUAUAAUUCUUUUAUCUCUAAAAGAACACUAAAAAAUAAAUUGGUUAAAAGUUAUCAAAAACAGAAAUAGAAUUUAUUCUAUAAUAUGCAUGAUCAAAAUUUACUUCAUGCAUAACAACAUUUUAAUGGCAGAGUGGUAGCAUCCUGAGAUAUUCUUUAUGGCAAAGCAAUAUGUCAGCAAUUUUUUGAAAAACCGGUAAUUUCCUUCUAGAGGUCUAUCUUGGCAACUUUCCUUUUAAAUAAUACAGCAGCAGUAACAUUUUUAAAAUGUUCAUAAAGCUUUAUAUAACAAGUUUAUCCAAAAAGAAAGGACCAGAAAUUUCAGGAUAAUUUUUUUAAAUAAAAUAGAAUAAUUCACUAAUUUUGACCUAAAAGUGAUAUUAAAACAUCCCUCUUGCAGUUUAAGAGUACUAUUUUAUAAUUUAUACCUCCUACUUACAGUAGAUAAAUCCAAUUGAUCUUGAGAUUUGAGAUGGAAAACCUGAACAUAAACAUCAUUCUUGUCUAAUAAGAUGACGGGAAUUGAUAUCUAUAGGCUUUCUCCAAAAUUGAGGGAAAAAACUUUUUAAGUUAACUGUGAUAAGUGAAUUUGAGUUUACCAAUCUCAGACAAUGCACUUAUUUUUAGCUUUUAGUUGGUAUUAUAUGAAAUAGCUAUAAUUCCUGAUUAAAGUGUAUUUUUCUAAGGCAAAGCAAGUUUGAUUAUGUACGAAGCGUAUGUAUUAGCAUGAUUAUAAAGGAAAUAUAUGACCAAUACAUACACAUCCUUUUUUUUUCUCCUUCUUUUUUUGCAGUGGUGGGGACUUAAUCCAAGGCCUCAUGCAUGCAAGGCAAGUGCUCUCCCGCUGAGCUGCAUCCCCAAUCCCACAUUCACUUUUCUUAAGUGAUACAUUCCAAGCUACAUAAAUUUAAUUUCAUAUCCUAUUUGAAGAAUACGUGUUUUGACAUUAAGCUUAGAAGCAUAAUUGAUGUAACGCGUUAAAAAAACUUUAUUUUUAAUAUUAUAAAGUAUGUUGUAUUUUCAGA